CAUGUACUCCCUCCGUUCGGAAUUACUUGUUACAAAAAUGGAUGUAUCUACAACUAAAAUACAUCUAGAUACAUUCAUUUUUUGGACGAGUAAUUCUAAACGGAGGGAGUACUAU
rnacentral:pre_miRNA from 1 species